rnacentral:rRNA from 1 species
UACGUAGGGGGCAAGCGUUGUCCGGAUUUAUUGGGCGUAAAGCGCUCGCAGGCGGCUCGAUGCGUCGUGCGUGAAACACCCCGGCUCAACUGGGGAGGGUCGUGCGAUACGGUCGGGCUGGAGGCCAGUAGGGGGAUGCGGAAUUCCGGGUGUAGUGGUGGAAUGCGUAGAGAUCCGGAGGAACACCAGCGGCGAAGGCGGCAUCCUGGACUGGUCCUGACGCUCAGGAGCGAAAGCGAUGGGGAGCAAACAGGGAUUAAGAAA